GAUGAACGCUAGCGGCAGGCCUAAUACAUGCAAGUCGAACGGUGUCUUCGGACAUAGUGGCGCACGGGUGCGUAACACGUAUGCAACCUACCUUACAUUGGGGGAUAGCCUUUCGAAAGGGAGAUUAAUACCGCAUAAGACAGUAGCUGGGCAUCCAGCAGCUGUUAAAGAUUUAUCGAUGUAAGCUGGGCAUGCGUCCAAUUAGCUAGUUGGUGAGGUAACGGCUCACCCAGGCAAUGAUUGGUAGGGGAACUGAGAGGUCAACCCCCCACACUGGCACUGAGAUACGGGCCAGACUCCUACGGGAGGCAGCAGUAGGGAAUAUUGGGCAAUGGACGCAAGUCUGACCCAGCCAUGCCGCGUGCAGGAUGAAGGCGGUAUGCGUUGUAAACUGCUUUUAUACAGGAAGAAACGACUCUUGCGAGAGGCAUUGACGGUACUGUAUGAAUAAGCACCGGCUAACUCCGUGCCAGCCGCCGCCGUAAGAC
rnacentral:rRNA from 1 species